UGCCGAAUGGUGUAAAGGUAGCACAGCUGCCUCUGGAGCAGUACGUGAGGGUUCGAAUCCUUCUUCGGCAG
rfam:Clostridiales bacterium KA00274 genomic scaffold Scaffold119, whole genome shotgun sequence.